ensembl:rRNA 5S_rRNA 5S ribosomal RNA
GCUUACGGCCAUACCACCCUGAGAACGCCCGAUCUCGUUUGAUCUCGGAAGCUAAGCAGGGUCGGGCCUGGUUAGUACUUGGAUGGGAGACCGCCUGGGAAUACCAGGUGCUGUAAGCU